rnacentral:rRNA from 1 species
AAUCAACGCUGGCGGCGUGCCUCAGACAUGCAAGUCGAACGAUUAAAGCUCUCCUCGGAGAGUGCAUAGAGUGGCGCACGGGUGAGUAACACGUAAGUAAUCUACCCUCGAGUGGGGAAUAACAACCGGAAACGGUUGCUAAUACCGCAUAAUGCAGCGGCACCGCAAGGUGACAGUUGUUAAAGAUUUAUCGCUUGAGGAGGAGCUUGCGGCAGAUUAGCAGUUGGUAAGGUAAUGGCUUACCAAGGCUACGAUCUGUAACCGGUC